rnacentral:sRNA from 1 species
UCCGAGCGCCCGCGGCCCGAUGGCCGGGCGGAAGAUGGCUGCCCGGAGCGCCGCGGACAGUCACGUGCGUGACGACAGCAUGUACGAUCCCUGAAUGGGCCUGUGGGCAUAUUUAGUCAUUCAUUUUUGAUCAGGAGAAAGAAGACAGCCAUCAUUUGGAAGGUAAAGCUUCUGUGACUGAAGGAGUGUGGACUUUUUGAAUUUCAAGAACAGUAAAGUUGGAACACAGUAGAGGGUGUGUAAUAAAAUACAGAUUGGAAAGAAGACUGAUGAAGAAAAAUAACAGCAUGAUUCAGGCACACCAUUGAGUUCUUUGGGAUGCCCAAAAGUGUCUGGUUGGGAAACAUGAAAUAGAAGACAAGAACCUGCCUCAGCAAGCGUACCUGAGAAUACUUUUAAAGGAACCUGUUGAUAAAUGCAAAACAGUAGCUGUUGCAGGUGAUGGAACUGUACUGGAACAAUGGGAGAAACUGGUAGCUUAUAGGAAGCCAAGAUGACCAGAAUGUUUUUAAAUAAUCCAAGGAAGAAUCCUGCUCAAAAAUGAGGUGAAUUAAUGCUUGGGCGCUCAGGAACCCUGGACAGCUAUAUGAGGUG